rfam:Schistosoma mansoni strain Puerto Rico chromosome 3, complete genome
AUCCAGCUGAUGAGUCCCGAAUAGAACGGUACGCGUGUCCUGGAU